GACGAACGCUGGCGGCGUGCUUAACACAUGCAAGUGGAGCGACGAACCAGGCUUCGGCCUGGGGCAAAGCCGCGAACGGGUGAGUAACACGUGGGUAACCUGCCCCGAAGAUCGGGACAACCCGGGGAAACCAGGGCUAAUACCGAAUGUGCUCCCAUCACAUCAGUGGUGGAUGGAAAGGAAGCUUCGGCCUCCGCUUCGGGAGGGGCCCGCGGCCCAUUAGCUUGUUGGUGAGGUAACGGCUCACCAAGGCUGCGAUGGGUAGCUGGUCUGAGAGGGCGGUCAGCCAGGCUGGGACUGAGACACGGCCCGUACUCCGACGGGGGGCAGCAGUGGGGAAUCUUGCGCAAUGCGCGAAAGCGUGACGCAGCAACGCCGCGUGGGGGAAGAAGGCCUUCGGGUUGUAAACCCCUUUCAGGAGGGACGAAGCCCAGGUCGUUAAUAGCUGUCCUAGGUGACGGUACCUCCAGAAGAAGCCCCGGCUAACUACGUGCCAGCAGCCGCGGUAAAAC
rnacentral:rRNA from 1 species